rnacentral:lncRNA from 1 species
GUGACCUCAGUGUUCACCUUCUCCCAGGGUGACCCAGUGCAAAUAUAAGCGCAUCGGCUGCCCAUGGCAUGGCCCUUUCCAUGAGCUGACAGUGCAUGAAGCUGCAUGUGCCCACCCCACCAAGACGGGCAAUGAGUUGAUGGAGAUCCUAGAUGAGAUGGACCAGAGCCACCGCAAGGAAAUGCAACUCUACAAUAGCAUCUUCAGCCUGCUCAGCUUUGAGAAGAUUGGCUACACAGGUGAGGUGCCCCACUGCCCUCUGCAUGCCACACGGGUAUGAACUGGGGAUGAUGCUGGUGACCAGAAGCUGGGUAUUGGGGACAGCAGGCUCUGUGCAGUGGGCACAGGCUGCGCCGGAUGGCUAGGCUCUGGACAACCUCCAGGUGGACAGGAGGAUAUCUCAGGGAAAAAAAGAUAGGUCAGGUCGGAGACUGAGCAGAGGGAGGGGCCAACAGGGCCUAGGGCAUACCUGCAUGGCUCUCACAGUAGCCCCUGCCCCUGUCCUCCCCACCCUGGCCUACCAUCCCAGCAAGCUGGUAUCACUGUGUGGGGCUCCACUGCCUUGGGACAGGUGGGGUCUAACCAGGAAGCGGGGCGUGUGUUAGGGAAGCCUGGGAACUCAGGGCUGCCACUCAGAGCUGGAGCAAGAGGAGCCUCCAUCAGGUCAGGCCCUGUCGGCAGACCUCACUGAAGCCACCACAGGCCUCCCAAGGCUGGUAAGAAGCUGUUCAGGGACAGGACUCCAGAGCAAACUGAGGGCACCCAGCUCAGGCUGUAGAACCAGGAAUGGAUGUCCACAGAUGGGCAGACUGGACUGGGCCUAGGCCCACUGGAUCUUGUGGCUCCUGGGCUACUGCUACCACCUUUGAACAUUUCGGAAAGCAGGAGUCAGGCUGGAGCCUGGUUCAGAGGACAGCAAGAAGCACCUGCAGACAAUGGGACACUCAGGGAGACCCCAUCCCUCUACUGCUCAGCAACACCAGGUGGCCAGGGCAACCAUGCAGCCAGUCACACCAUGCUGCCUAGACUGAGCUUGGCUGGGUAUAGACCUGAGCAGGCUCCAGAGGCUGAGGGCCCAGGGGGCUACAGCAGCAGAAAGCCACAGCCCCUGGUUAAGAGCAGCCUCAGCUGAUCGGACAGGCCCUGUGGGGUCUGGGUGGGCAGGGGCAUGUGGCUACAUCAGUGGCCAGGUAGGAAGCCCCAUCCAUGCAGGAAGGACUGGUUGCCUGGGAACCCACACCUCCACAGAGGGACUUGCCAGCCACAGGCUGUGGGUACAAAAGAGGACUGCAAAAGCAGGUCUGCCCGCUGACUGACAGCCCCAGAGAUGCCAGGCAGAGCCUGGUUGCAGCUGGACACCUGAGGACCUGGCGCUCCCCUCGGGCAGGACUGGGUGCCACUUACUCACCUGCCGGCUUUUCUGGCAGCUCUGUAUCCAAACCAAUAAAGUACACUUGUUCUCAGAACUGCAUCCUGUCUGUGUGUCUGCUUACCCCGCCCCUGCUGGGACACCAGGGCUAGGGUGAGGAGGGUGGUCCAUGGGUCAGCCACGCCUGGGAGAUGGCCUGACCUCCCAUAGCCUUGGGUUCUACAGCUAAUUGGUGUUUAUAUCCCCGGACCCCUGAAAGCUUGUGCGCCUCCAUGUGCAAUACUUGCAUUUGACUUGCCUUGUGACAAGUAGAGCUCACUAGGUCCGGGUAAGUUGCCUUUCUCCCUGGCUGAGCCUGUCCUCAGCCUGGUCAGAGAAGGCGCCACCACCCAGCUCUGCCCAACACUAACGGCUGGCUGUUUCUGGCCCUGUCUGUCUCCACAGAAGUCCAGUUCCGACCAUACCGCACGGAUGACUUCAUCACACGCCUGUACUAUGAAACACCGCGGUUCACAGUGCUGAACCAGACAUGGGUCCUGAAGGCUCGUGUGAAUGACUCAGAGCGCAACCCCAACCUGUCUUGCAAGCGCACACUUUCCUUCCAGCUCCUCCUCAAGAGCAAGGUCACAGCACCCCUGGAGUGCUCCUUCCUGCUGCUCAAGGGCCCGUAUGAUGAUGUGCGGAUCAGUCCUGUCAUCUACCACUUUGUCUUCACCAACGAGAGCAAUGAGACGGACUAUGUGCCUCUGCCCAUCAUCGACUCUGUGGAGUGCAACAAGCUGCUGGCUGCCAAGAACAUCAACCUGCGGCUCUUCCUCUUCCAGAUACAGAAGUAGGAUGGGCUCAGGAUGCCCAAGGAGCUGAGGGCCAAGGCCGGCGCCGCCAUCCCAUCCACCCCUGGCUUGGCAGCGGCUUCACAUGACCAUCUGAUCAUUUUAGCAAAAGAGGAGAACAGACAAAACCAAACACUGGGAAAGUCUGCAUGCGUGUGCCACAGGGUCCCUGCCUCCAGCUCCCCCUCUUCCUGGCCUCCCCCUCCUGAGGGUGGCUGGAGGCUGGGCUGACCGCAGAGGAGACAGUGCUUUGGGCUGCCCAGGCUCAGGGAUGGGUGUGAGGAGGGCAAGAACCAGCGGCCCUGCCCCUGCACCCAUCCUCACAGUGAGGCAGCACUGCCUGCUCUGGUCCCGGGCCGGGCUCAGGGGCCCUCGCUGACUUCAGACGGCAUAUUUGAUUGCAAUUAAAAGGCAGCCUUGUUUCCUACUUUCUGUUUUGUUGGAGGGGAAGGAGUGGCUGUGAAUGGACGGCGUGGGAGCUCUGGUAUGGCUUGGGGGUUACUGUUACGGCACCUGUGUGUGCCCCCAAGAGAGACUUGGAGACAUUGCUUUUCCCACAGUCUGUCACAGGUCUCUGGACUGAGGCCUAGAGAGGGACAGCCAUGAAGGGUCGGGACCCCCCCCCCCCCAGCUACCCGGCUACUUCAGGGAGGCAAGACUCAGCCACCAGGGCUCAGCAGAUGUUUUCGGAAUGCAGGGUGAAAUUCUGUCUCUUCCCAGGAAAAAAAUUAAACUCUUUACAGGCUCUUCUAAAAGAGAUGCCGUUUUAGUGAGAGAGAGCUCAUUCACUUCCUUUUAGCCUUGGGGCCCAGUGUCUUCAGGCUGCAAAGGAGGCAGGCCACUGGCUGUGAGCCUGGCUGGGUGAGGUCAGAGAGGGCCACCACCCCAACCUGCUCUCAGGGACUGGCUGCUGGGCCUUUGUUCAGAGAGCCACUGCAAGGGCCAAGGUUGGGCAGCAUGGCUUCUCACCUACAGAGUGUGAGCUAUGAGCAGGACUGGGGAGUGGGAAGCAGCCCUGCUUGGAGGAGAAGACCCUAGUCCUUUAUUCCCCUGGGACCCGCAGAGCUACUGGGAAGGUAGAAUUUGCUUCCCUCAACUUUUGUUUAGGAGAUGGGGCUCUUUUGUGAUAGCUUUUUUUGCUUUAAUACCAAAGAACUGGGUUUCCUCUGCCCUGACCAGGCCACCACACACCUGGGAGCAGCCCCCACCCUCCCUGCAGGCUGCCUGUGCCCCACGGGGUUGAAGGACUAGAUAGCCCUGUCCACAUGGGUGCAGAGUUUAGGCCAACUGACCCCUGAGGCUCCUCCCACCCCACCCCCAGGGGGCUGAGAAAUGGAGAGAAGGAGCUGUGGCAUAGAGCACAAGCCCUAACCACAUUCCUGAGCAUGGCUUAGCACAGGGGCCAGGGUGGCUGCCUGAAACAGUUUUCUCCUCAAGGAUGGCUCUCCUGUCUCCUCACAGACAGAAAGUUUCUCAGAGCUGUUUUCAAAGAUCCAUUUGGGCUCCUGUCCCCAGCUCAGGGCACAGAGCUUACAGGGAACUCCUCUCUGGGGAACCAUCUCUCCUGCAAAGCUGAUGUGGCCUGGAUAGUUGGGAAGACCCAUGUUUGGCUUUCUGCAUUCUGCAAAGAAAGACCCAACCCCAAAACCCAGCACAUCUAUAGGAGCGGUGGCCUCUGACUCAGGUACAGCCAGAUGACUCCUCUGCCCUUAUGGGGCAGCCCUGUCCCACACCCACUGACAGGCACAGAGGGCCUGUGGAGAACAGAGGCCCUUCAGGGAGCCCCUCUGGAUGCCAAGGUGACGGUGUGAGGGACAGUGCAGAACUGUCCUUUGCUGGUAUUUGUGAGACUGAUCCAGCAGAGGGUGAUGUGGUGGCUUCCUGGGGUGGGACAGAGUGGAAGGUUUGUUCUCCAAGGCCACAGCUAUGCUGGGGCAAGGAAGGGCACAACUGGGCUGGCAGGGCUUGGAGGUGACAGAUCUGUAUGUAUGUGUGUGGCUGUGGGGUCUGGGAAGCCACCAGGAGGGAGGAGGCCCAGGGCUGCCCGGCCUACAGCCUUUCCUCAGUGCUGGAGCCCACAGGGUCGACAACAGGGUCAGCCCAAGACAGAUGUGGGGACAAGGGGUAGGGGUGUGGUGUGUCUGGUGAUGCCCAGGAGGACUGCUUAGGCCUUGCAGCACUGUCCCCAGCAUGGCCCCUGCCCUAUGACUGUCACAUGCAGCAGCUGAGCCUAGCAACCUAGGGGAACUGGGCAGUGGAGGAGACUGGCAUGUCUCUGGGCCACACUGGGCACUGGCACCACAAACCUUGCACCAUUGUCACCAUGAACCCUUUAUUACUGAAGGCACAUCUACUGGCCUGUGUCCUCUUGCUGUCUCAGCCUGGUCCCUUUUCUGUCACCUGUGAGGAUGGGGGUGAUUAGUCUCUGCAGAUGUUGGGAGGCUUGUGGGGGUAUAGGCCAAGCCAGGCCUCUGCACCCCUCAUCUCACUCCCACUCUCUGUGAGCACCACAUCCCUCAGUUUGCCCAAAGUGAGACAUUUACAAAAACAAUAAAAAUAAAUUUUUAAACAUCAGAGCAAGAAGUGCUUUUAUGGCUG